AACGAACGCUGGCGGCAUGCCUAAUACAUGCAAGUCGAACGAAUCCUCCUGGACUAGUGGCUCCCGGGCCCGUAAAGCAUGGGAACCUGCCCGUAGGUUCGCACGAACUUCCCGUAAGGGGUACUAAGAGCUGAUAAUUGCUUCGGGCUCACGAUAUAUCGCCUUUCGAUGGGCCCGCGGGGGAUUAGCUAGUUGGUAGGGUAAAGGCCCACCGAGGCGACGCUCCAUAGCUGGUCUGAGAGGAUGACCAGCCACCCUGGGACUGGCACCCGGCCUAGACCCCUACGGGAGGCGGCAGUGCGGACUAUUGGACGCUGCGCGAGAGCAUAAUCCAGCCAGGCCGUGUGAGUCUGUAAGGAGUUAGGAUCGUAGAGCUCUGUUGACCGGGCAGAUAAUGACAGUACCGAACGAGUAAGCCACGGCUAACUCCGUG
rnacentral:rRNA from 1 species